UGGGGAAUAUUGGACAAUGGGCGAAAGCCUGAUCCAGCCAUGCCGCGUGUGUGAAGAAGGUCUUCGGAUUGUAAAGCACUUUAAGUUGGGAGGAAGGGCAUUAACCUAAUACGUUAGUGUUUUGACGUUACCGACAGAAUAAGCACCGGCUAACUCUGUGCCAGCAGCCGCGGUAAUACAGAGGGUGCAAGCGUUAAUCGGAAUUACUGGGCGUAAAGCGCGCGUAGGUGGUUUGUUAACUUGGAUGUGAAAUCCCCGGGCUCAACCUGGGAACUGCAUUCAAAACUGACUGACUAGAGUAUGGUAGAGGGUGGUGGAAUUUCCUGUGUAG
rnacentral:rRNA from 1 species